ACGCUCGACACCUACGGGAGACAGCAGUCGGGAAUAUUGCGCAAUGGAGGAAACUCUGACGCAGUGACGCCGCGUGCAGGAAGAAGGUUUUCGGAUUGUAAACUGCUUUAGACAGGGAAGAAAAAAGACAGUACCUGUAGAAUAAGCUCCGGCUAACUACGUGUCAGCAGCCGCGGUAAUCUGAGCGGGCUGGCAAGGC
rnacentral:rRNA from 1 species